rnacentral:lncRNA from 1 species
CUGUCCAUUUUGGAUGUGUGAAAACCUUGCCACUUCUCUUUCUUGAUUUCUGCAAGAGCAGGAAAACCUUAAACACCAUUUCCUAUAGCAACCGAUGCAACUCUGCUGCUAGUGUUUUUCUACUUUACUGUUUUAACAACUUUCUUCAAAUAACAAUCUAACUGAUCUCGAAUACGUAAUAAAAGCAAUAGAAUCUUACAGGUUUUCAACGUGUUCUUGCUGACUCAUGUUCCCUACUGUUUACUUUCCAUGACUGGUCUACUGAAUUUGUGUCUAUUUAUGUGAAUCCCUUGGCAUUAUCAGGGGUGGAGUUAAGAUGGGGUUCAGUGGGGGCUAAAGACUUGACAACAUAUAAAUUUUGGAAAUAAGCCAAUAACAAAAUAAUAUUAAACAUAUCACAACAAUUUACCAUUGUUCCCAGCAGGUUUUCACACUUCGGAAACCAAGCAUAAUGACAUCAUCGUCUAUUUUUUGGAAUACAUCGUUUUCAAUAUAUACAACUAAGUUGUCAUUCAUCCACUGAUCUCCAAUUUUAUUGCGCAAUCGAGCCUUCACAAUGUUAGUUGCAGUCAAGACUCUUUCAACUGUAGGAGUAGCAAUGGGAAGAAUUAAUGCCAAAUUCACAAGCUUGUAAACUAAUGGAUACACUUCAUUUUUCUUAGUUGCAUUCAACUUCUUUGAAAGAUUACUUAGGCCCCGUAAUUCUUUGAACUCUUUGCUAGAGCGCAUAUCAGUGAUAUAACUUUCAAGUUGAUCAUCAAGUUUCAUGCACCCUGUUGGUGAAAAAUCCUUUGGAUAAUACUGAGCAAGGCGAACUAACUUUUCCUUAUCAAAAGUCGAGAAUGAAUCAUUGGGGUAUAAGCAUGCUACACAAAGUAGCAGCUCAUUAUUUACCUCAGUGAAUCGAUCAUUCAACUCUUGAAGUUGCAUAUCAAUGACAUCAUAGAAUAAACCCUCGCGGAAGUAAUGCAAAUUUGUCAUUUCUUUAGUAUUCCGCCCUGAGCGACCUUGAUGUAUAAAGGUACCAUCCAUGUUCGGAACAUCAAUAUCGUGCUUUUGACAGAAAGAACAUACUUGUUCCAAAAGAGAAUCCCACCCAUUCUCCCUCAUCACUUGGAGUUGUUGUUUACAUACUUUCACUAAACUUAUGGCAUUGACAAUAUCUUCAUCUUUCCUUUGUAAUGCCUUCGACAAUUCAUUGGAAAUUCCUAAAAUAGUUCUCAUGAGAUGCAGACUAAAGGCAAAGUCAAAUGAUGGCAUCCCAUCUAAUAAAUAUUUUGCCCAAAAUCUUUGAUCACGACAUGAUUCAACAUCAAUAAUCAUUUCAAGGACAUCAAGUAUAGGUGAGAACAUGGUAAUUAAAGUGGUCAAAGUACCAUAAUGUGAUCCCCAAUGUGCAUCAUGAGGAGAAUUAACAAUACUAUGCUGAUUGAGACUUUGUCCACUUGAAAUCUCACUGUUCUGGAGUGCAUUUGAAAUUAUGGCUGCUUGUUUCUCUCUAAGAAGAUCACAACGAUUAGACAAUACUCCGACAAUAUUCACCAUCCUAGAAGCCAAACUGAAUAGUGAUCCAGUCUCCAUAUGAUUCUUUGCAACAUCUACAAGAGCUCCUUCAAGUCGAUAAGCAAAGCAAUGAAUGUAAAAAGCACGCGGAUUCUCUUUCAAAAUAAGUUCUUUGAGACCAUUAAACUCACCUUGAAUAUCACUGGUCACAUCAUAAACUUGUCCUCUCAAUCUAGAAAUACUCAACCCGUAUCUAGAGAAUAAUUUAUCUACAGAAGCCUUAAGUGAGAGAGAUGUGGCACUAGAAACGUGUUCAAUACCCAUAAAACGUUCAACUACAUCUCCAGUGUUGUUCAUAUAACGCAACACAAUAGACAUUUGCUCCUCUUGUGAGACAUCUGGAGAUUUAUCAAGUAGAAUCGAGAAUAAGGCAUCACCAAUAUCUUCAAUAAUAAAACUCAACGUUUCAACAGCAGCAACACUUGCAAUAUCAUUUUGAAUAUCACGUGAUAUUAAAACGAGAUUCUCAGGAGCAUUUUCCAUAAUAGCCUUAAUCUCAGCAUUUUGGUCGGCUAGACACCGCAAAAGUUGAAUAAAGUCUCGUUGAUCUUCUGAAGCUGCAAAUUCAUCAUCAUCGAAUACAAGCCCUUGUCGUGUGAGAAACCGAACACAAUCAAUUGAUACACUCAAAAGCGUCCGAGAACCUCCUUUAAAUAUAUCUUUCCUUGAUUUCUCUACAUCAUCAUUUUCUUCAAUAGAGAACGGAGAUUUUCGUUUAAAAUAUCUCUCCAUAACUUCCUAC